rnacentral:rRNA from 1 species
GACGAACGCUGGCGGCGUGCCUAAUACAUGCAAGUAGAACGCACAGUUUAUACCGUAGCUUGCUACACCAUAGACUGUGAGUUGCGAACGGGUGAGUAACGCGUAGGUAACCUGCCUGGUAGCGGGGGAUAACUAUUGGAAACGAUAGCUAAUACCGCAUAAUAUUGAUUAUUGCAUGAUAAUAGAUUGAAAGAUGCUAUUGCAUCACUACCAGAUGGACCUGCGUUGUAUUAGCUAGUAGGUGAGGUAACGGCUCACCUAGGCGACGAUACAUAGCCGGCCUGAGAGGGUGAUCGGCCACACUGGGACUGAGACACGGCCCAGACUCCUACGGGAGGGAGCAGUAGGGAAUCUUCGGCAAUGGACGAAAGUCUGACCGAGAAACGCCGCGUGAGUGAAGAAGGUUUUCGGAUCGUAAAGCUCUGUUGUAAGAGAAGAACGGGUGUGAGAGUGGAAAGUUCACACUGUGACGGUAUCUUACCAGAAAGGGACGGCUAACUACGUG